AUGGCAUCAUUGAUGGAAUUGAUGCGCCUCCUUCACGAUGAAGCUGGGGAUGAACCACAACCCCAACCCCGACGACGCAACCGCAGGGCCGCUGCUCGUCGGCAAAACCCACCACCUACCGGCACUCUCUCCAACAGUGGCACACAAAACAUGGAGGGUCUUAUUAACAACACCGGUUAUGUUGAGGGACAUGGCAACGGAUCUAUCGUCUAUGGUAGCUUUGAUUCUUCUACAAAGACUUACAAUUAA